AAAACCUCGCCGUUACUCGAGGUUCGUGGUGUUUCGCGAUAAUCAGAGUGGCAAGAAUUUUUGGUUCGGAUUAAGGUGAUUUUUGCUUCGGAUACCAAGUUAUGGAAAUUCAUUACAGACAUAAUGUGUAUUCUAUUGGCAUUAGAGGGAGGAAAUGGACUACAGCGUUGCACAAACGUUAAGAAACACUCUGUGUACGUUGUAAUUAAGCGGCGAGCAAUUACUUCUUGUCCCUUGAAUAUGACGAAACGGAUAGUGGCGCAAGUAAACGGUAACGAAUGGCAGUAAUUGCGACCAAACGCGACUCAUGUAAUGAAACGAGAGUGGAAUCGCGUAAAAUUACGAUUAAAUGGUUAUAAGACUGGUUUAUGUGACCGAUACCGUGGACCUGUCCGUUCCCUUUCGCGGCAAUUGAUUGCGAACGCUGUCGGCCGAUCGGUAUCGUUUUUAUUUAUGAAUCAGGAGCCCGUUACCAGGGCGCAAUGUAAUGAAGCAAUUGCCGCGUUCGAUUUGCAAUUUGUUCCCAUUGCGAUUUUAAUCGAGAUCAAGUACAAUCUGAACCCGUUCACGCGGAUACGAGAAGCGUUACUGACAUCUCGAAUAUACUCGAUUGCGCAAAAGAAGCGAAACGAGAUGAUAACGAAAUCAUCUGCUUUUAUGUCGGCCUCGAGAAUCGAAAAAUGAAAAGUUUUUCAGAAAGAAUUAAUUUAAAAUCGUAGAUAGAAUACUCCAGAAACCGAUUAUCGAUGAUUUAAUUUUAUCCAUUCUGUAUAAUCUGCAGAUUACUAUCAUGUGUUAUUGAUAUCUAAUCUUUUGAGUGACAAACUUUGAAGGUGGAUAAAUUAACAAACCACACGUCAGUGUCUUCUCCUCCAUUUCGUUGAAAUUAUAAGAAUAAGAAUUAAAGGUAGAUAAAACUCGUCUAAUGGACGCAUUGUAUUUAACCUGGCUCCUAAUGUCAGCCGCCAGAGAUACGGUAAGUGACAGAAUACAAACACGCUCGCACGAGCAUCUAGAUAACGCCAUUUUCAGAGGAAACCUGGCCAUUUGGAAGGAAGACACGGUCAAUGUUAGCACACGUCACGUCCUCUGUCGCAUUGCCGCCAGUUCCGCUCGUAUCAUGAACUGUCACGCCGGCUCUCCCGGUUAUAAACACUUGGUGCGUAACUGCACACUUUAAAGCUGCAAUAUUCGAGGGAGGUAACAAGCGACUGAAUAAACAUCGACCACCUUGCUUCGCGUGCCAUCCUUGUUUCAAUUCUACUCCGGUAGUUUACCGCUAUUCAACAUCUUAAUUUAAUCCAGAACCGCGACAUGUAACACGUGUCAUGGGAAGUUCACGGCUGCAAAUGUUUGCUUACAUCGAGAAUAAUGGAACAAUUUAAAUUGGUAAUAUGUUUCAAGAUCAUCGUUUACGAUAAAACAAAAUGAUGAUCGAUGAAAAUAAAAUUGAUAGAAAUUGAUAAUCGUGAUAGAAAUACAACGACAAAAUAUAGUCAUACAAAUUUACACUGUCUGCAACUUAAUCGUCAAGCGUAAGAGAAUCGAUAGUUUCUGUAUAGCACGAAGAUCGAAUCGUACUUCGCAACACGGAAGUUAGUAUUCAAGGUCACAGGGGCUGGGUAACUUCAAUGGUCGAGGUAGAGGAACGCGUGACUCGAUCCACGGGGCUCGAGAACGUAAUCCCAUAGCAAUGUUUGCCGUCCGUGACGCGAUACCGAUCGCGUCGUGCAGCCCGAUGGAACGAGAAGGGAAAAGCGGAUCGCGCGAUGUUCGACUGUUUAUCGUUGUUAUUGUUUUUCGACCCUAUCUCAGCCCAGCCACCCCCAUCCCGGCGGAAUCCGAUUUGUAAUGGAAAUGCAAUGUUCAAUGCUGCUUUAAUCCUUCGUCCGCCGUAGGAGCCUUUUGUAACGCGCUGCUUCCAGGGAAAAAACGGAGGAGACGGACGGCUUUAGAGAUCCGUCAUAAUCGUUCUAGGACGAUAUUUAUUUUUCGUACAAACGUCGCUGCUUGAGAGAGAGAAAGAGAGAGAGAGAGAGAGAGUCAACGAGAUUUUUUGCGAAAGAUUACAUCUGAGUAUUCGAUAGCGCACACGGAGCGCCAACGACAAACUAUAUAAAUGGUCACGUUUCCAAAAGCAUUAUCUCGUUCGUCGCUCGUGAACUCGCUCUCGCGGAUGCAAAACUAACCCCCGUAGAAAAAACGACCAGAACAGUUUUCCACUUAACAAACGAAAACUUCCAACCAACCUGAAAAUGUGCAAAAACGGGAAAACCACAAACGCGAAUCUCCUCUCUACGCUCGUAUCUUUUACUUUUUGCUAAUAAUUAAAAGAACGUAAGUAUCGCCAGAGGGGUUGUUAAGCAAUGGUUAGGAGUUCCUUCGCGAAGUAAGGGAAGUUCGGGCGAAAUAGCGACUCGGAGUCAGAGUGGAGAGAGGCGGCGAGCGGAAGGGUGACAAAUCAAUGGCGGAUGGUAGGGUAGGUAGCGGCAUAUGAGCGCUGGGCUCCUAUCUUAUCAACGCAUUAUUCAACGGCGGAGGCUGCUCGGGACUCUAACUGCCUGCAUUUGCAUAAAUCCAUAGAUCUCCCGGACCUGCUCGGCUGCCCGGCCGUGUCUAUCCAUCUCUGGAUGCAUGCAUACAGCAAAUUACAGUGCCCGCAAGCGGAAUUGUGGGUGGCGGACCCGUGUCCUUCCCCCUCUGCCUGCCCCCCUUUCACGAAAGGACCCCGAAGGGAGCCAACACGCUUGCCGGCUAGGUAAGGCCAAUGGAAGGGGCUCGGUAACAUUCACUUUGCCAGUGGCUUUGUAUUGGAUCGUUAACGACACCCCUUCCUGUGUACCUUCUGUUAUCACCCUACGCUAUCUCUCGUAUUGUGCAACCUUCCUUUUCUAUGAGUGUACUAGGACUGGAAAAAAUUUCGUGCACAUUUCCAGGAUUCUGGGAGAUGGAUAAUCAGCCACGCGUUUAUUGGUUGAUGACUGAGUCGAAGAAUGGUAAGAAAUACCGCGUAGGAUCGUUUUAUAGUUAUGCACUAUCGAUCGAAAAUUCCGUUACGUUAAGAAACUGUUCAGGGAAAAAUCGAACGAGGUAAAGACUGUUGCUGCAAGAAUUAAACGAUAAUAGUGAAACGAUGUUGAAGAUCGGCCAUACGUUUUUUCUAUUUUGCUCGAAUGAUAGUUUUGAGAUUAUUUGUCGGAAUCUAUGCAAACUUCAUCUAUGGAAUCGAUGCAAACUUUAUCCUAUUGGCAAAUCAAUUUCAUGCCGAUAUAAGAAACUUCGCAAAAAUCCAGUAACCCAUAACAAAGAGUACCCGCUGAACCAUUCACGCACUGAAAUUGGUCGGUUACAUUCGUUGAAAAUUUCUCCACGAAAGUGGUCCGCGCGUUCAAACACGCGCGGGAGAUCCUCGUUUAUCGAAUCCAUUUGCGAGAUCACGCGAACGACGUAUCCGCGGUAAGACGAGUCUAACGGAUCGCUAAUCAGCAAGUGAAACAAAAGGAUUUCCACGGCACAGAGGUGGCGGGUUUCCACGCGGAUCUAAGGUCUCCCUCUCUCCCUCUCUCUCUAUUCGUCUCUGAGAGGAUUGCCGGGCCACUCAGCUACGGAAUGGUUCGUUAGCAAAAGGAGACGAAACUGUAAGUCCCGGUGCAAAUACCGUCGAUUACGUGCUCGCCUGUACGAUUCGGUCUUCGUUGAAUUUCUCCGCGAACGGUAUCACGGCAACACGGUAAUAUUUGCAAAGCUUUGUUAUCCGACCGACUCACAAAACCGGCGAUCGUAUGCAUUGCGAUUCGAAAAUUUAUUCGUUCGAUGAAUAAUUUAACUCCGGUUAUCCCUAUAUCCUGUAUGAAUUAUCGCGUCCUCGCUCUGUCAUACGCGAAUACCGUCGAAAUUUCGUUUGGAAAACAACGCGAAGAAAAACGUUGUUGCCAGGCAUAACUCACGUGGAUAACGUUCUCGAUAAUGCCUUAGCAAUCGAAAAUUCAGAUUACCUUUUUCAUCGAGAAUUCGAAGCGUUCAAUUUCGUAAAACGAGGCCAGCUUUCAACGAACUUUUUAAUAAAUCGACUGACCCAAUUUCUCUUGUGACCCGUGUACGCAGGAAACGGAACAAUAAGCAGUAUCAUAGAACCGAUCGCGUUGAAAUCGCGCGGUAAAACCCACGGUACGGAACGAGACGGAAUUUUUGACAAGGCUUUUUCGCCCGACCGAUAAAAUAUAUUCAUUUUCCUAUUGAAUUCGCAGAUAAUUGGUGCGAGUCUGAGAGUGUCUGAUACCGAUCCCCGAGUUCUCACGAGUCGGGUGCAACGGACGCGUAAUAAAUUCCAGGUUUACCUAUUCUGCUUGCGACAGGAAUUAUUCGGCGAGCUCGUAGGUGCACGAUCGAUUUAACCGGGCGAGGAUGAAAUACGAGAGACGCGCCAAUUCGUUGCACCGAUUCAGUCGUUCCUGUACCAUUACCUGUCGAUCCUCUGCCGAUUGUUUCAUCGACUUUUUUCCUGCCCCCGAUUAAAAAUUUCGAAAAAUAUUCCGCUAACGACUACGCAAACUCUAUUAAUUCUUCUAGAUCGAAAGACUUUUUAUACAGCAGGAGAGAAUCUAUUGCAAGGACAUUUUGAAAAAUUUGCAUUUCUUUAUGAUGUAAAGAUAUGUAAUACGAUGUACUAAAUAUUUAGCGACAUUUACAAAAUCUAUGACUAAAUCAUGGCAAUCCACUGAACCGAUCUUAUGAACUUGGAUUUAGAAAACAUUACGCUUUACCAUUUUCUGCCACAAUCAGCAACGAGUUUCAUCCGUAAGUCCACUUAUAAUCUAAAAGCAAGACUCCGGUGGUACUCGUACAUCGAUACAAUAGCCUGAACGAGUUUAUUCCGGAGGAGCCAGCUGCUCACCCUUAAAAACACCGUUGUCCUCUUGAGCGGUGCAUCACGGACGCGUUAUCUGCCGGCUGCUCGAACAACGAUAGGGCAGUACGAGGGUGGAGAGUGCGAAGUUAAGUCGAGCCCUUGCUCGAAUGUCUCUGACGGCAGCGAGACGAGUAGUUAAUUAACACCUCCCGUUACCCUUACCCUUCUUCAUCCCUUGCAUCCGGUAGAGGCUAGCUUUUCCGCAGAACAGCCGCGGUGGCAGCCGCCUUUUUCACAGUGGAAGAACGGUCUCCUUCGCAGAAUUCGCCCGCGUGGCUGGCUUUUUCAAAGCUGCCGUUACCCCGGCGAGAAGUUGGAAAAGGAUCUCCUUCCUUCGUAAUUUUUUCCGUCCUCCUCCCGUCGACCACGAAGACCGAUAGCGACCGAGAAGGAUCUAGAGGAGGAGGAUCCACCGUUUUGGAACUGGCGCAAAAGAGUCCGACGACGGGGUUUGAUCGUUCAAGUGGUUGGUUCUUACACUGUCAGCGUUCUCUUCUUCUCCGAACUGUCGAUGGAGCAAUUUUCUGCGAUUGUGGCAAAGUGGUGGAAUUGCGAGCAGAUCGUGCGAUGUCGAGCGGGUGGUGUUCUCGCGAGGACUAGAAAGUUAUCAAAGAGGGACAUAAACGACGUUACGGCGAACACAGAGCAUGCGCUCGGUAAUAUCUCAGUUGGAUACAGCGAAAUUUUCGUCGUUGUUGACCAUUACGCCGAAGGAUCCAGCAUCGCGAAUGCCUCGAGGUACGUCAGGUUAUGUGAUACCGGUAAUAAUUCUAUGAAUUACGAGCUUAACCCGGUCUGACCUCUCAUUUUCAUCAAGCCUCCACUCGCAGGGAGCUGUGUCAUCUCGACAGGGCUUGUAAUGCAAAGGUAAUGAUAGCGAUUUGGAAACGGACGUUCAGAUAUAUACAUCCAGUUUGUUUUGUGAAUUUUGUGGUCAGUGUUACUAGUGUUUCAAACAACAUUAAUACUCAUAAAGCGUUACGAAGUUUUCAAUUUCCCUGUAGUUCUUCUCAUAACGAGAUAUAAAUAGAAAAUUCGCUAAAACAAUUUACUGCGAUAUUAUAAACUCGAAGAUUGAACAUUAA